UACGUAGGCAGCGAGCGUUGUUCGGAAUUACUGGGCGUAAAGAGUGUGUAGGCGGUGCUCUAAGUUCGGUGUGAAAUCUCCUGCUUAACUGGGAGGGUGCGCCGGAAACUGGAGUGCUUGAGCGUGGGAGAGGAAAGCGGAAUUCCUGGUGUAGCGGUGAAAUGCGUAGAUAUCAGGAGGAACACCGGUGGCGAAGGCGGGUCUCUGGGCUGACACUGACGCUCAUGCACGAAAGCGUGGGGAGCAAACAGG
rnacentral:rRNA from 1 species